rnacentral:rRNA from 1 species
AGAGGAAGUAAAAGUCGUAACAAGGUCUCCGUAGGUGAACCUGCGGAGGGAUCAUUACAGAGUUCAUGCCCUCCGGGUAGAUCUCCCACCCAUUGCUAUAACUACUCUCGUUGCUUUGGCGGGCCGCCGGGCCCUGCCCGGCCGCCGGCCCCGGCUGGCGCGUGCCCGCCAGAGACCUCACAGACUCUGAAUGUUAGUGUCGUCCGAGUAACUAUACAAUCGUUAAAACUUUCAACAACGGAUCUCUUGGUUCUGGCAUCGAUGAAGAACGCAGCGAAAUGCGAUAAGUAAUGCGAAUUGCAGAAUUCAGUGAGUCAUCGAAUCUUUGAACGCACAUUGCGCCCUGUGGUAUUCCGCAGGGCAUGCCUGUUCGAGCGUCAUUUCAACCCUCAAGCCUCGCUUGGUGUUGGGCCCUGCCCGCCGCGGCCGGCCCUAAAGAUAGUGGCGGCGCCGCCUGGCCCUCAGCGUAGUACAGCUCUCGCUCCAGGGUCCGGCGGCAGCCUGCCAGAACCCCCCAACUCUGUGGUUGACCUCGGAUCAGGUAGGGAUACCCGCUGAACUUAAGCAUAUCAAUAAGCGGAGGA